GACGAACGCUGGCGGCGUGCUUAACACAUGCAAGUCGAACGGAAAGGCCCUGCUUUUGUGGGGUGCUCGAGUGGCGAACGGGUGAGUAACACGUGAGUAACCUGCCCUUGACUUUGGGAUAACUUCAGGAAACUGGGGCUAAUACCGGAUAGGAGCUCCUGCUGCAUGGUGGGGGUUGGAAAGUUUCGGCGGUUGGGGAUGGACUCGCGGCUUAUCAGCUUGUUGGUGGGGUAGUGGCUUACCAAGGCUUUGACGGGUAGCCGGCCUGAGAGGGUGACCGGCCACAUUGGGACUGAGAUACGGCCCAGACUCCUACGGGAGGCAGCAGUGGGGAAUAUUGCACAAUGGGCGGAAGCCUGAUGCAGCAACGCCGCGUGCGGGAUGGCGGCCUUCGGGUUGUAAACCGCUUUCGCCUGUGACGAAGCGUGAGUGACGGUAAUGGGUAAAGAAGCACCGGCUAACUAUGUG
rnacentral:rRNA from 1 species